UUCAGGCAAUGGUAUACACACAGGCUGUUUGGGUGGAGAAUGGGCAGCAGAUGGAAGGAGUUUUGCCAUUAAACUGGAUUGACACAGAGACCAAAGUGGUGCGAUGGCCUCUAAAAAACGUGUCUGUGGCACAUAAGCACCUUUUACAACCACAGGAGGACUGGUUGACUUUAACAAAUUCAAAGCUCAAAGUGACAUCAGGAGUGUGAAAAAUAUAAUUACACCUCAGCUCAAACCGAAGAGGAGGACAAAGUUACUCAAAAAAGAAUGAAAAAAAGAAGGAAAUUUGAAGAUUAUGUUCAAGGGUCAGAUUUGUCUGCUGAGGAGGAUGAGUCCUUGCCAGACAAAAAAAGGGUGAGUACAGUUUAUGUAUUAUAUUUAAUGUCAGUAAAAUUAAGUUGGCUGUGUAAACUGUGUA